UGCUGAGAGAGAGACUUGGCCAGUGUGCUAU
rnacentral:piRNA from 1 species